GAGUUAGCCGAGGCUUAUUCGUCAGGUACCGUCAGAUCUUCUUCCCUGACAAAAGAGGUUUACAACCCAAAAAGCCUUCCUCCCUCACGCGGUCUUGCUCCGUCAGGCUUUCGCCCAUUGCGGAAAAUUCCCC
rnacentral:rRNA from 1 species